rnacentral:rRNA from 1 species
CCUACGGGGGGCAGCAGUGGGGGAUAUUGCACAAUGGGGGAAACCCUGAUGCAGCGACGCCGCGUGGGUGAAGAAGCGCCUCGGCGCGUAAAGCCCUGUCAGCAGGGAAGAAAAUGACGGUACCUGAAGAAGAAGCCCCGGCUAACUACGUGCCAGCAGCCGCGGUAAUACGUAGGGGGCAAGCGUUAUCCGGAUUUACUGGGUGUAAAGGGGGCGCAGACGGCGAUGCAAGCCAGGAGUGAAAGCCCGGGGCCCAACCCCGGGCCUGCUCUUGGAACUGCGUGGCUAGAGUGCGGGAGGGGCAG